GUGUAGAUGCUGGGCUUGGCAGCCUCCUGCUUAGAAAUGGAAAGGUGCUGUCAGGGGGUUUUUUAAGAAGGGAACAUAGGAACUCAGUGUUCCCUGUGGUCUGCCGGAGCUCAGAUGUGUAAUUCUCCUAGAGAAGCUGUAAAAUUCAUCAUUUCUUUUAGGCAUUUAGAACAGCCACAUGGAGUGAGCCGUCAGCUCUGGCUGUGAGUGUGUGUCACCAGCCGUGGAGCGCCUCCUAACGCCACUGUUCGUCUCUGCCAAGAUAGUGGAACCAGCCCUACUCCCUCGAGGAUAUGGUAGGAAGAAAUCAACUUCUUCCUUGGGAACUGAUGGUUGCAAAGAAUUUACUCACUCCGGGGAAACAAACACAAAAGCUGACAGAGGCUGAACAUACAAAAUGGCUGACUGUAGUACUGUCAAGUUCUGGGCUACACGCAAGAAGGGCAAAUAUUUGGAUAACAAGGCCACGGA